CACGAGCAGGUUCCGCCCCGCCCCUGCAAACACUCGCCACCUAAACCAGGAAGCAAAAUACACGUAAACACGGACUAAACAAAUAUAAGGCAGAAAGACGAGCUGUUUUCAGCGGAUUGCUGCACAGAAGCGAAUAUAAACCCGCCCUGGAUGUGUUUAUUCCUCUAAACGCACGUGGAUCUACCAGCACUGCUCCACUGGUCCCACCAUCACUCAGAGUAAGAAGGAAGUACACAUCAAUACUCUUCUGUUCUGGCACCGAGGUGGUGGAAUAAAAUUCCUCUAGAUGUCCAAACAGCCGAGUCUUCAAACGAUCGUUGCUGUGGGCAGUAUGGGACAGCACAUGGGAAAACGUGAGCUAUCACCAGAGUCGAAGACGCUGUCAGACCCAGCCUCUAGUACCACAGCGGAGUCUGACACUCGGGACGAUGUCUUUGGCAUGAACGACUCGGACGUCAACCAGAACAAAAACCGUCCAAACAAAAGCCAGACGACGUCAGGCGACGCCCCUCCCAGCGCCGGACAGACCAACCAGCGUGGUGGAUAUUGGCCACGCCCACACUUGGUCCGCCUUUUUUCCCGUGAUGCCCCGGGCCGAGAGGACAACACCUUCAAAGAGCGACCGUCGGAGUCGGACGAACUUCACACCAUCGAGGAGGUCGGAGGAGCCACGUCCGAAAACGCAGAGUGAAAGCAUAUAACCCGACUCGUUCACUUGCUCCUUUCGCUCUUUGACACCCAACAUGGCGUCUUCAGGCUCAGCAGGACAGUCCGGCUUCAGACUCGGGCGCGCAAAGAAAAACCCUGGAGUGAUGGAUCAGAUUGGAAAAAUCUUUGGAGGUGAUAAGAAGCGGAAGAGCAAGGGGGAUCAGAAGAGUUCAGUGAAGGCGCAGAAAGGGCGUGCGGCAGCAGGACAGGGGACGCUGACCCGCAUCUUCAAAAUGGGAGGAACCAGAGCAGCAUCACCGGCCAAACGCUGAGCUCCAGCUCUUUCAUCAUUCUCCAUUAAACAUGAUGACCCUGAACGGAGAGAAAGGAAAGAAGAAGGAAGCUUUUUUCCUCCACUUACAUUUUUUCCCGCUAGUGUCUCCUGCACUAACCUGAACAAGAUCGUGCUCAUCCUUUCUUUAUCUUUGCAUCUAUUUGUUUACGUCAGUUUCUUCAUCCGUUAAGUUCUGCGCGGUCGGAUCCUCGGCUAUCCUCUCCUAAUGUCCCUGUCUUUUGAGAAAAUGAGGCACUGAGAACCUUUUGAGGAAAACUGUUAUCGCUUUAUAUCACUGAGGACAAAAUGGUGAUUGGUUUAAUACGUUUUUGAUUGUUGUGUUACUUUGUGAAGUUAUAAGCUAAUUGCAGACCUUUCAUAAUGACUCAAGAAGCUAGCUAGCUAAUUUAGCUCAUUCACCGUAGCUAGGACUUUCUAGUUGCAGAUUAGCUAACUUAGCAUGCGAGCUAAAUGUUACAAAAUCUUCACAUGGACAAUAAUCGCCUCAAAAGUUUGUCGUGUAUCAUUUAGAUUACUAAAUAUUAUUCUUGUGGUUCUGUCUUUGUCUCAAGAGUCGAUGUGACUAGCAUUUAGCAUCUAACCGCUUAUUUAGCGGCGCACAGGAUGAACUCACACACGUGUACUUUAUGGCUUCGUGUAGUCUCGUCUGUAACUCACUCUUCCUCGAUGUCUUAGCGGAUCUGACUGCAAAAUGUUGAGCUAAAAAAAAAAACCAAAGUAACUAAAAUGUCGUCUAAUGUCGAUUUUCAGUCACGGGAAUUUUUAGUCACUGUAUGCUAUCGCGACGUCGCUCUCUCUCUCUCUCUCAACUUUGACUAUUUCUUUGAGCUUUUUGAAUAAAAUCAUCCCCCAAUAAAACUUGGACACAGCUAGCAUAAAAAAGCAGUAGAAACUAUGCAUGUGUUAGACUGCUAAUGGAGUGAUGGGAAUCAUUAAAAAUGCAAAUAAAGGAGACGUAUAUGUCA